UACGUAGGGACCAAGCGUUGUCCGGAGUCAUUGGGCGUAAAGAGCGUGUAGGCGGCUAUUUAAGUCCUGCGUGAAAUCCUGCGGCUCAACCGCAGACGGUCGUGGGAAACUGGAUGGCUAGAGUGCGGGAGAGGAGAGUGGAAUUCCCGGUGUAGCGGUGAAAUGCGCAGAUAUCGGGAAGAACACCCGUGGCGAAGGCGGCUCUCUGGAACGCAACUGACGCUGAGACGCGAAAGCGUGGGGAGCAAACAGG
rnacentral:rRNA from 1 species